rnacentral:rRNA from 1 species
GAUGAACGCUGGCGGCGUGCCUAAUACAUGCAAGUCGAGCGAACGGACGAGAAGCUUGCUUCUCUGAUGUUAGCGGCGGACGGGUGAGUAACACGUGGAUAACCUACCUAUAAGACUGGGAUAACUUCGGGAAACCGGAGCUAAUACCGGAUAAUAUUUUGAACCGCAUGGUUCAAAAGUGAAAGACGGUCUUGCUGUCACUUAUAGAUGGAUCCGCGCUGCAUUAGCUAGUUGGUACGGUAACGGCUUACCAAGGCAACGAUGCAUAGCCGACCUGAGAGGGGGGUCGCCCACACUGGAACUGAGACACGGUCCAGGCUCCUACGGGAGGCAGCAGUAGGGAAUCUUCCGCAAUGGGCGGAAGCCUGACGGAGCAACGCCGCGUGAGUGAUGAAGGUCUUCGGAUCGUAAAACUCUGUUAUUAGGGAAGAACAUAUGUGUAAGUAACUGUGCACAUCGUGACGGUACCUAAUCAGAAAGCCACGGCUAACUACGUG